GUUAGCUAUUGGCGGAACUCAAACAGUUGUCACAGCAAGCUGCUGGUUGGAAUCAUCAGAUCAGAAACUAGUAAUAUGAGUCACCCUUAACUUCCAGAACACCUUUCUCCAAGGCCAGAUGCAAAACUCUCAGUGACUCUGCCGCUAUGACAAGAACAAAGAAAUAUUGAUGAGAUCUUGAAGACAUCUGCCACGGCCAACAUAACCUUAUCUUUGCAGCCUUAUGCAGGUGCUGACACAUGAGUGUGCAGGGAGAAUGAAUGGCUUCCUGGUUAUAAGAAAAGAAGAAAACACAGAGAAGUAGGUUCAUUCAUUCCACACACAUUCAUUUUCAACUCAUUUUCAGAAAGACCAAUAUUUCCAGUUGUCAACUGAGAGUUAUACUAAUCAAUGUGGACUCUGGCACCCAGAAUGUGCUGUGUGACUUUUCAAGGACAACAGAACACUUGAUUCCUACCAAGAAGCUGUUCAUAUCCCAAACAAAACUGAAACUCAAUUUGAUUAAAAUAUCACAGAUAUCCUCGCUAAAAGCCCAGGAGUUAUUCAUCAUUCUUCCGUUUCCCUCUGUCACUGCCUCCUUUCAGUGGUCCUCCACAAUACAAAUCCAAGCACCCCUCAUCAUCACAGCUGGGACCACUCCACACCAGCACUGCCUUCCAUCCUUGCACCCCUCAGUCCAUUUUCUACAUAGCACUCAAAGUGAUAUUUACUUAUUAUUUGUUGUCAUGAGAAGAGAAACCUCAGCUGUGUAUAAGGAGCAGCACCUAAUCUAGAGAAGGCACCCCAUAAACAUUUGUUGGAUGAAUCCUCAGGCACAUUCAACUCCUUCAGUAUUUAUUUCCAGAAUGCUAAAGAUUUCCUGUAAGAAUAGGUCUGAAGGAAACAACUCAUCCAUGGAUCUGGAAGUGGACAAUGUGAUGUUUUGAACCAGGAUACAUCCAAGGACAAUGGACCUGGCAGCGAAGGCGCAGGUAGCCAUCAACUCUGAGUCACACUAGAAGCCACUCACAUUAUAGUGCCUGUACUCUUCCGGCGAAUUUCAAUCCCAAAUGG
rnacentral:lncRNA from 10 species